UACGAAGGGGGCUAGCGUUGUUCGGAAUCACUGGGCGUAAAGGGCGCGUAGGCGGCUUUAUAAGUCGGGGGUGAAAGCCUGUGGCUCAACCACAGAAUUGCCUUCGAUACUGUAGAGCUUGAGACCGGAAGAGGUAAGUGGAACUGCGAGUGUAGAGGUGAAAUUCGUAGAUAUUCGCAAGAACACCAGUGGCGAAGGCGGCUUACUGGUCCGUUACCGACGCUCAGGCGCGACAGCGUGGGGAGCAAACAGG
rnacentral:rRNA from 1 species